rnacentral:rRNA from 1 species
UUAAGAAUCUUGCACAAUGGGGGCAACCCUGAUGCAGCGACGCCGCGUGGAUGAUGAAGGCCUUCGGGUUGUAAAGUCCGGUAAGCAGGGAAGAAUAAGCAACGGGUAAUAUUCGUUGUGAUGACGGUACCUGCCUAAAGCCCCGGCUAACUACGUGCCAGCAGCCGCGGUAAUACGUAUGGGGUAAGCGUUGUUCGGAAUUAUUGGGCAUAAAGGGCGUCUAGGCGGGGGAUUAAGUUAGAUGUGAAAGCCAUGGGCUCAACCCAUGAACUGCAUCUAAGACUGGUUCUCUUGAGUUCGGGAGAGGAGAGCGGAAUUCCAGGUGUAGCGGUGAAAUGCGUAGAUAUCUGGAAGAACACCAGUGGCGAAGGCGGCUCUCUGGCCUAGAACUGACGCUGAAGCGCGAAAGCGUGGGGAGCGAACA